GACGAACGCUGGCGGCGUGCUUAACACAUGCAAGUCGAACGGGAUUUAGUAAACGGAGGCCUCGGUUGAAGAUUACUAAUGAUAGUGGCGACCGGGUUAGUAACGCGUGAGCAACCUGCCUAUUACAGUGGGAUAGCCUCGGGAAACCGGGAUUAAUCCCGCAUAAAAUCGUAGAAACACAUGUUUCAACGGUCAAAGAUUUAUCGGUCCUUGAUCGGCUCGCGUCUGGUUUACUAGGUGGUGAGAUAACAGCCCACCAAGGAGACGACAAGGAGCCGGUCUGAGGAGAUGACAGGUCACAAUUGAACUGAGACACAGUCCAAACUGCUACGGGACGCAGGAGUGGGGAAUACUGCACAAUGGGGGAAACCCUGACGCAGCGACGCCGCGUGAACGAAGAAGCUAUUCGUAUCGCAAAGUUCUGUGUUAUGGGGAGAUAAUGACAGUACCAUAGAAGAAAGCUCCGGCUAAAUACGUG
rnacentral:rRNA from 1 species